GGGUCACAGUAGCCACAUUUUGUAUAAUAUUAAAGAUAUAAGACUGGGCUAGAAAAACCUCAGAAUUUCAGAGAAGACCCCAGGUCCCACGAUCUCUGAACAGCGUUCUGCUUAAGCACAUAAUAACAAACUCUUCAUUGUUGGUAUGACAACAGCCCCACCCUUCCCACUUGAAGCCUACUUCUUCCUUCAGAGCUUGAGUGUGUUGACAUAACUUGUGGCUACUCCUGGUUUCAGAAGGCACUAAGCAACAGAAGAUCUAUCACUGAUGUGAACAGGAGAAAAUUCUUAAGACGUUCACUAAGUAAACUGGCACUUCUACUGCAAAAUUGAAUGUUACCCUGAGAUGCUUCAGAUAUUCUGAAUGGUAACAUAUGGUCUUUGUAAUUGGAUUCCCUCAUUUGCAUAAUGUUUUCAAGAUCAGCUAUUAUUGUAUGUGCUUAUUUUGGAUGACUUCGGCAAGAAUUGCUUCUCUUGAGGUUUCUAGCAAAUGCAGCAAUCAAACUGUGGUCCAGAGUGACGAACUGACCGGUUGUCUUAAGGAAGCUUCGGGAACACGGGGCAAGCCUUGCCUUGUUGAAUCAGUGAUAUGAUACAGAGGUCACAGAAACUUGAACAUGGGUCACCUUCUUGCCUGCUCGCUAUCCCUCUGUCACCUUCAAACAUUUCUGAUGUGAUUUACAAUGGGCAUCAAGACUCACAGAAUUUGUUUCAAUGGUGAUCCGUAAGCAUACAUUCUUUGUGAUCUUCACCCAGAACACUGUAUGGGAAGCAUCAAAAUCAGUCCUGUGCAGUGCUCUUCUGUGGCAUCGAGCGCUCUCUCUCUCUCUCUCUCUCUCUCUUUCUCUCUCUCUCUCUCUCUCUCUCUCCUCUCUCUCUGCAUUUGUGUAUUUGUGUAAUCACACACACAUAUGUAACCAACAUUGUAUGCAUUUAGAAAACACCCUGCCAUACACAAUGAGAAACAAACCAUUCAUUUUAUCUCAGAACCACAGCUACACCAGAAUUCAUAUUUGUGCAAGUCAUUGUUAGGCUAAAUAAGAAAUAUAUCGGAGUCCUAACAAACUAGUUUCUGUUCAGAAAUUGGGGACAUGAGCUCUAACAACAGCUGGUGCAUGUUCUACCACAUGUAUAAGUCAUACAAAAAAAGGUAUCAUUGUAAAAAAUAAAAUUGUUUUAAU
rnacentral:lncRNA from 1 species